rnacentral:rRNA from 1 species
GAUGAACGCUGGCGGCGUGCCUAAUACAUGCAAGUCGAGCGAACAGACGAGGAGCUUGCUCCUCUGACGUUAGCGGCGGACGGGUGAGUAACACGUGGAUAACCUACCUAUAAGACUGGGAUAACUUCGGGAAACCGGAGCUAAUACCGGAUAAUAUAUUGAACCGCAUGGUUCAAUAGUGAAAGACGGUUUUGCUGUCACUUAUAGAUGGAUCCGCGCCGCAUUAGCUAGUUGGUAAGGUAACGGCUUACCAAGGCAACGAUGCGUAGCCGACCUGAGAGGGUGAUCGGCCACACUGGAACUGAGACACGGUCCAGACUCCUACGGGAGGCAGCAGUAGGGAAUCUUCCGCAAUGGGCGAAAGCCUGACGGAGCAACGCCGCGUGAGUGAUGAAGGUCUUCGGAUCGUAAAACUCUGUUAUUAGGGAAGAACAAAUGUGUAAGUAGCUAUGCACGUCUUGACGGUUCCUAAUCAGAAAGCCACGGCUAACUACGUG